rfam:Picea glauca, whole genome shotgun sequence.
GCAAACGGGGUAGCAAGAUAAGUGGGCUUGAUUGUGGGGAAAACUCCAUAGUUAAGCAUGCUUGAGCCAGAGUCGUCUUGGGAUGGGUGACCCCGUGGGAAUUCCUGGUUACCGGGUGCA